UUGGACCUGAUAUCAGGCAAGAUUACCGCGUGAACUUAUGCAUAUCAACAGGCGGAGGAAA
rnacentral:rRNA from 1 species